rnacentral:rRNA from 1 species
CGACACUACGAGAGUUGAGCUUCAACCACCACUUGCCGUGAUGUCUGUCGACGUGGACUCGCAUUUAGGCCAG